CUCUGUUUUCGCUCUCUGCAGCUUCCAGGUGGCGGUCUCACUCGCUUGCAGAAGAAAUACAACCAGAAGUAUGGAUUGCACAGGAGCUGCGGCGCAUCGGGGAUGAAUUCAAUGCCUCCUAUUGUCCAAGAAGGGGUUUCUUGGAUAACCACGCGGGAAACCCCCAGGUCGUCAUUCUGCGCCUCCUGCAUUACAUCAUCCGCCUCAUCUGGAGGAUGCAGUGACGCUGGCCGCGCGGGCCUCUGGGACUUGAUGGCUUCUUCCAAAACCCAAUGGAGCAGAGCCGAUGCCAGAGCUUGGCGCUUCCAAGCUGCCCCCCUGGCCAGGGCACGCGGUGGCCGGAGGAGGGUGGAUUUCCCACGUGGACCUGCCGGGACGCUCUCAAGCCAGAUUUUAUCUGAGAGUGGUGUUUACUGUGUUUCUCUCGGUUUUAAAUUUAUUAUUAUUAUUUUUUUUUUUUAAAUGUCUAAGAGAAAAGUCCUCAGUGCCGAUGUUUGGUCAUCGUUUCUGGAAAUCUAUCGGCUUCGCCUUGGAUGCGCCCCAAGACCCUCCAGAUCCAGCUGAUCUGCAGAGCUGCCUUAUUUGUGCUGCAGGUGUGCUGCGCUGCCGCCUCCUCCCGCCCGCUGAUUUUAAUCAGCACUUCUCUUACAUGUAAAUACUCAAUGCUACUCCAAAUCCAGCUCUGUUUGCGCCACGCAGAUAGCCUCUUUCCUGCUGACUGGUGGUUGUUUUUUUUUUUUUUUUUUUUUUUUUUUUUUUUUUUUUUUUUUUUUUUUUUUUUUUUUUUUUUUUCCGAUUUUUAUUUUUAAAUUCUGAAUUUCAAGACUUGGCUGCCAGAUUCCCAGGGUCUAAAAUAACCUACCAACCAAACAAAAACAAUCCACCGGGUUGCCUUUUUAGAAAUUCUUUCUAUAAGACGUGUGAAAAUGCCUAUGUAUUGAUAAUAUUAUAAUAUAUAAUAUCGGUGACUGAGUAAUUCAGCAAUAAAAUGUACGUGGAGGCAGGUUAAAAUAGUUCCCAAACCGCUGCAGUUUUGCACCCAGAGACAGGUCCUGGAGCUGAUUGAAGGCAUGGUUAGCGUGUUGCUGUUAAACCCAGGAGGGUUUUUGGCACUCUGGAUGUUUUCUGGGAUCUUCUGUUUGGACUGGACCAGGGUGAUGGGAGAAGUCCGCCACGUGCAGGCGAGGAGCGAGGGAAUGAAGACCCUGAAGGUUCCUGCGAUGGGAUCCAGCCGAAUGAGGGGCCCUGCGGCGCUGAAGGACACAGACUUGCUUGUGCAGCUGUUCAGAUGGUAUCGACUCAUCUUGGAGCGUGGGCUGUGCGCCCCGCUAACCUGGAGCAUGUCUUCUCCUUGUGGCACAUCUCCUCCUUCCGCCUGGGAAGUCCUCAGCAGGUGUUUGGCGUCCCAGGAUGAUCCCCUUUCUCUCCUCCCAGCUGGAGACCCUGCCACGUCACUCGACUAGGUCACCAGCGUGGGUCUGUGUCCCGGCCACUGGAGGCCCUGCCGUCGUCUCUGGUUCAUCUCGCACAGGAGGCUUCUGCACAGCAGGUGCUUUUUGGGACGUGUCAUUGCUUCGACCGCCCGUGUUUCUAUGCACAAACAUACUCCUCUCACCUUCAAAACUGUCCCCUUCUCUCCAGCUGGUGCGGAUGGUCCUAAAAUCAACUUCCAAAUGCUGCAGUUAGUUCUGGUUUCACCAGCACCAUAGAAGAAGAAGCAAACCCGGCCAUAUAAUAGCGGUUUUUCCUCCGCGUUGCAAUAUGCAUGUCAGGAGAAAACUGUUCUGCGUGCCAUUGUGUGAAGAUCAGUGUUCCUCUGUUAGAAGAGCUGUACAGUCUGACCUCUUUGCACCGGCUGGGAGGCGGUGACCCAUUGGCGUGGGGCCGCGUGGCCCUGAUUGCACUCGUCGGAAGGAGAAUGGAGCAAUUUUAGCUUGUCUGGUCCCGCGGGGAGGUGGCCUCGGUUGCAGGGGUGAGUUGGGUGGAGAGUUUUGCAGGAGGAGGACCUCAGCGCUGGUGGAGAGCAAGCGGCUGCCGUGCCCAUCAACCCCAGCCAGGCUGGAGGCUGCGCCGCCUCCACUGCGUCCCAUGGAGCACACCAAAGAUUGGUGGCCAGCACUUUACCCUGUCCUCCUGGCUCUGUUCUGCGGGGGAAAAAAGAAGGGGAAGGACCCAAGGCACCGUGGCUUGGACUACUGCACAUCCAGCCUUCCCAGCCAGAAGGCAGGCAGAGGAAAACGUAGCUCCAAAAAAAAAAAACAGAAACCAGGCUUCAUCCCUGUAGGAUUGUGAGGGUUGCUCAUUUUUGUUUUGUUUUCUUUUUUAAUGUCCUGAAGAAGAAGGCUGAUGGUUUUAAAUCGGCAGCUACACUCACUUCGAGCAGUGUUCGCCGAUGGAUGUGGGUUGUUCUAAGCCUGUGUCAGCUGUGCUCUCUGUUCUGCCAAAACGAUUCCAUGAAGUUCAGUAGUUUCAGAGAGCCUGAGUGUGCUGGAUGGUCUCACGCAAUGCGUUACGCUUCUCAGUUGGUAACUGUAAAUACCUGACUAUUUAUUAGAAUAGGGCACCAUAUUAUUUUCAUCAUCUGAGCCAGAUAUCUGUGUGCAAUGUAUUCUCUUUCCAUUCUCUCAUGUAAGUUUUGUACAGCUUAUAAGUAAUCAAAACAAAAAAACCCAUGUUUUUUCCUAAACUUUUUUAGAGUUAAACUUGGUAAAUACUGUAGAUUACCCCUCCUCUUUUUUUUUUUUUUUUCCUCCCCCUGCCCCUGUGUAAUCAAUGCACUCUACUGUUCCAUCAUGCUGUAACUUGUAGAAACGAUGUAUAUUUAUUUCCUGCUUAUUUAAAUUCCUGUCGAGGUUUUGUCUCCCCCUCUCUCCUCCUGCCCCAGGCCUCCGGUGUGGAUGGACCAUGUGAGUGAUGGACCUUCCAGCGCUGCCCAUGCCGUGCAGAGAAAGAGAUUAUUGGUUUGAAGUGCCUAAGUCCUGCACUCCCAUAGGGAUUUUGGCACCUCCGAGAUUGCAGCAUUAGUGAAAUUUGGGGAAGUUUGGCUUCUCCACCACCACCACCACGAUUCAGGUCCUCCCCUCUUUAAAA